rnacentral:rRNA from 1 species
GACGAACGCUGGCGGCGUGCUUAACACAUGCAAGUCGAACGAAAAGAGGGAAAGAGCUUGCUCUUUCCGGAAUUGAGUGGCAAACGGGUGAGUAACACGUAAACAACCUGCCUUCAGGAUGGGGACAACAGACGGAAACGACUGCUAAUACCGAAUAAGUUCCAAGAGCCGCAUGGCCCAUGGAAGAAAAGGUGGCCUCUACCUGUAAGCUAUCGCCUGAAGAGGGGUUUGCGUCUGAUUAGCUGGUUGGAGGGGUAACGGCCCACCAAGGCGACGAUCAGUAGCCGGUCUGAGAGGAUGAACGGCCACACUGGAACUGAGACACGGUCCAGACUCCUACGGGAAGCAGCAGUGGGGAAUCUUCCGCAGUGGGCGAAAGCCUGACGGAGCAACGCCGCGUGAGUGAUGACGGCCUUCGGGUUGUAAAACUCUGUGAUCCGGGACGAAAAGGCAGAGUGCGAAGAACAAACUGCAUUGACGGUACCGGAAAAGCAAGCCACGGCUAACUACGUG